AACACCGGACUGAAGCUGCGAAAGCAAGAGUCGAGUUUGGACUUCCAACGCAUGUGUUCGUCUGUGUGUUGUCAUAAGGGUGUGGUGCUCUUUCUCCACACUUUUAGUGAAAUAUCUAGAUUUUAUUUUACGUGCUUUCACAAGUAAUUGUUUAAAACGCAAAACAAUGAAACACUUAACAGAACCACGGCAGCCCUCUACCGGCCAAUAUCUCAACUACUAGAGCAGACGUCUCUCCAUCUUGGUAUUGACGUAACGAAUGUCUUACUAGUGGAGUGUUAUCCCUGGUCUAUUUUUCGUAUGUGUGUGUGAAUGUUAUCGUUUUCGUGGCCUGCGAUAGAUCACUCGGGUGUUAUCAUCACGGCAGGAAAAGUAAGGCUUGUCAUCUAUCCUUCCCUCGCAGCAACGACUAGAGAGGAAGGACCCGGACAACCAUCCUUGGCUGUUGAUUUGAUGGCACACCGCAGGUAGUGCUUAACGUGACCGCAGCGAGGGCAUCAGUGUGAUCAAGCCACAACACAGGUGGACAAUGCACACACCUCUGUACUUCAGGCGUGGGAAGUUAUUAUGGAGAAUUAAAACAGCUUCUUUCUGUACCAAGCACUGCCACGCAGCACCAGAGAGCUAUGAGUAUGUAAGGUGAGCCCAGCGGUGUCACCAUCCCCUCAUUCAGCCAUACUGCCUUCACAGCAUCGCCUCUGCUCCUCCCUGGUGGAGAGCUUAGGAUACCACACGGAGUGGUGGUGAAGGAGGUGAAGGAAAUGCAGAAAAUUGCUCUAAUACUGAGCGCUUCUCUGGUCAGACCAUCCUUCACUGAAUAUUUGGACCGAGGCUUCGAGAUACAAGUGGGCCAGGUGACCCCCCAGAAACAGCGCCAUCCUACCUACUUGUGGUGUGGCAGCCCUGAUCGUCCCCCUUCCUCCCUCCUCCUCCUCCUCCUCCUCCUCCUCUUUCCCCCUCCAGCAUAGAAGAGACGUUU